GAUGAACGCUGGCGGCGUGCCUAAUGCAUGCAAGUCGAGCGAACAGACGAGAAGCUUUCUCCUCUGACGUUAGCGACGGACGAACGAGUAACAAGUGGGUAACUUACCUAUAAGACUGGGGGAGCUUCCAGAAACCAACGCUAGUACCUACUACUAUAUUCAAAGGCACGGUUCAAUAUGUGAAGACGGGUUUCCUAUCCCUUAGAGAUGGAUCCGCGCCGCAUUAGCUAGUUGGUAAGGUAAGGGCCUACCAAGGCAACGAUGCGUAGCCGACCUGAGAGGGUGAUCGGCCACACUGGAACUGAGACACGGCCCAGACUCCUACGGGAGGCAGCAGUAGGGAAUCUUCCGCAAUGGGCGAAAGCCUGACGGAGCAACGCCGCGUGAGUGAUGAAGGUCUUCGGAUCGUAAAACUCUGUUAUUAGGGAAGAACAAAUGUGUAAGUAACUAUGCACGUCUUGACGGUACCUAACCAGAAAGCCGCGGCUAACUACGUG
rnacentral:rRNA from 1 species